UGGUGGAGUGAUUUGUCUGCUUAAUUGCGAUAACGAGCGAGAUCUCAACCUGCUAAAUAGCUACGCCUUGUCUGACAAGGUGGCCAGCUUCUUAGAGGGACACCGUAAGAAAAUUACGGGGAGGUUUGAGGCAAUAACA
rnacentral:rRNA from 1 species